rnacentral:rRNA from 1 species
GGGUGAGUAACACGUGGGCAAUCUGCCCUGCACUCUGGGACAAGCCCUGGAAACGGGGUCUAAUACCGGAUAUGAGCCUGGGAGGCAUCUCCUGGGUUGUAAAGCUCCGGCGGUGCAGGAUGAGCCCGCGGCCUAUCAGCUUGUUGGUGAGGUAAUGGCUCACCAAGGCGACGACGGGUAGCCGGCCUGAGAGGGCGACCGGCCACACUGGGACUGAGACACGGCCCAGACUCCUACGGGAGGCAGCAGUGGGGAAUAUUGCACAAUGGGCGAAAGCCUGAUGCAGCGACGCCGCGUGAGGGAUGACGGCCUUCGGGUUGUAAACCUCUUUCAGCAGGGAAGAAGCGAAAGUGACGGUACCUGCAGAAGAAGCGCCGGCUAACUACGUGCCAGCAGCCGCGGUAAUACGUAGGGCGCAAGCGUUGUCCGGAAUUAUUGGGCGUAAAGAGCUCGUAGGCGGCUUGUCACGUCGAUUGUGAAAGCCCGAGGCUUAACCUCGGGUCUGCAGUCGAUACGGGCUAGCUAGAGUGUGGUAGGGGAGAUCGGAAUUCCUGGUGUAGCGGUGAAUGCGCAGAUAUCAGGAGGAACACCGGUGGCGAAGCGGACUCUGGACAUACUGACGCUGAGACG